CAGCAUGUUAAAUAAUCGUAUUGACUGUUUUCUGCCAAGUAGAGUGUGCCAUCUAGCAAAGCAGCGAUUGUUUUCAACACUGCGGUUUACAUUGUUCUUAGACAAGCAAUACACAAUUUCUUAUUGAAUACAGGAAAUUAAUUUAUGUGAAAUAAAUUUAUGUGUCUGAUUUAUGUCUUCAUGUCUCCACCACUUUGCCCUACAGCAAACCCUUAAAGACACAGCUGUGUAGAGGAAGAGCGAUUAAUUCAAUCAACGUUUAAAAUCAUAACUGAUUUUAGUGUCUGUAUUUUCAAAUCUACCCAAACACUUUGUCUCAGAAGUGAGUACCAGUAAAUCCUAUGUUAUACAAACUAUGGAAAAACAAAAAAAGAACAAAAACCAGGAGCCAGGCAUAGUGGCACAACCUUUAAUCCCAGUAUUCAGGAGGCAGAAGCAGGAGGAGCUCUGUGUGUUGGAAGGCAGCUUGAUCUACGUUGCAAGUUCUAGGACAACCAGUAUAACACAGCGUCACGCUGUCUAAAAAAUAAAAUAAAAUAAACCUCUUAGGACCUUCCCAUUUGCAUCAGAGAUGGCUGAGAACGGCCCCCUGCUGAGGCCUUCCUCCACCUCCACCAAGGAAGACUCUGUGCUCUGGUCCAUCGCACUGGACCAGCAGUCCUCUGUCUACCCUCUCUGGAGCGUCCCAUGCCGAGCUGGCCCAGGAAGUAUGACGCUAGCUGGAUAGAGGAAGUUCAGCAAGGGCUGCAGUAAAGACAUAAAAGGUUAUUGCAAAAUAAGCUGGCCUCUUCACUUUCUGUGGAAUUUACUGGACCAGAAUUGAUCCAGGCGAUGUGAAAAUAAAAGAUACAGGAGACCGAUCUCAACAGAAGCAGCAUCCUUUCAUUAGAGCAAUAAAGGACGAACACAAAGACCGCCACAUGGAUGAGAGAAGGAGCGGCUUUCCCUAACCUUAGGGCGGGAAGUGUUUUCUUCAAUGUGGGAGAAAGGGGCUGGGGGAAGCGGCCCAAACUUGCCAAAGUUGCGGAGUUCCAGAGGCGGGGCUUUGAGUCUGUCUGCUCACAGGAGCUCGGCAAGCACCUCUGUGCGAAGCGGCGAGUCUGCGCGGGGAGGGCAGGACUCACAGCACUUCCUCCCCGAGCCCACGUCCUCCGCUCCAGGCCGUCUCAACCCAGGGGUGACAACCGCGCAUCUCAGCUCGGCUCAGCCCGGUGCAUUUCACAGCAUCUUGUGGCCACCCGGUGCAUCUCAGCUCAGCCCCGCGCUUCUGGGCGCAGCCCGCGCACCCCAGCCGUCAAGAUGGGUGAAUCAAAUGAAGACAUAGACCAGAUGUUCAGCACUUUGCUGGGGGAGAUGGAUCUCUUGACCCAGAGUUUAGGAGUGGACACUCUUCCUCCUCCAGAACCCAAGCCACCCCGAGAAGAGUUCAACUACAGUGUGGGGUUUAAGGAUUUACAUGGUAAGCAUGUUUUCUUAAGCAAUUUGAAACCCUAAUGAUGACCGAAGUCUCCAUGGAACUAUACUCUGACCAUGAAACUAAGGAAAUGUGAGCAUUGUGGUAAAUAAUGUGUAAGCCCCAGACUGUGGGCAGUAUUUUACUAUGUCUACACUGAAUUAAGAAAGUCCAUUAGAUAUUUUUGUCUAUAACAAUGAAAGGGAAGACCAUCUUCCAUUUAUGAAAAGUCUCAGGACAACCUCACCUUUUGAAAAGGAAAGCAAAGUUUCUUCUUAUUACUAAGGAGCCCAUUAUCUUUUAAUUUUUUUAUUACAAAAAUUCUUAGCUAGGCAUUGGUGGCACACACCUUUAAUCUCAACACCUGGGAGGCAGAGGCAGCCAGAUCUCUGUGAGUUCGAGGUCAGCCUGGGCUACAGAGCAAGUGCCAGGACACCUCCAAAAGUACACAGAGAAACCCUGUCUCAAAAAGCAUACAUAUAUAUCAAAGUCAUUCAGAGAACGACAGACUUAA
rnacentral:lncRNA from 1 species